GACGAACGCUGGCGGCGUGCUUAACACAUGCAAGUCGAGCGGUAAGGCCCUUUCGGGGGUACACGAGCGGCGAACGGGUGAGUAACACGUGGGUGACCUGCCCUCAGCUCUGGGAUAAGCCUGGGAAACCGGGUCUAAUACUGGAUAUGACUCCAUGACGCAUGUUGUGGGGUGGAAAGCCUUGUGCGGCUGAGGAUGGGGCCCGCGGCCUAUCAGCUUGUUGGUGGGGUGANGGCCCACCAAGGCGACGACGGGUAGCCGGCCUGAGAGGGCGACCGGCCACACUGGGACUGAGACACGGCCCAGACUCCUACGGGAGGCAGCAGUGGGGAAUCUUGCGCAAUGGGCGAAAGCCUGACGCAGCGACGCCGCGUGAGGGAUGACGGCCUGUG
rnacentral:rRNA from 1 species